CUGACCCCGCCUCUCCACAGUUCCGCCUUCAGGCUCAGGCUCUAAGCCGUUAUUUCUCAGAGCUGUAUGAGUUGUCUCCCUGGAGCGCCUACUACCUACGCUCAGGAAUUACUGCCUUCAGUGAAGGAGCAGAUGGACUGAACGUGUUCUACUGGAGUAAGUUCUCGGGCCCUGGGGGCGUUGCCAUGGAGAUCCAGCGGUGGAGUACAAAGCGC
rnacentral:lncRNA from 1 species